rnacentral:tRNA from 1 species
GGGCCCGUAGUUCAGUGGUAAAACGGCCGGUUUGCAUCCGGCAAACGGGAGUCCGAUUCUCCCCGGGUCCACAA